AAAUUGAAGAGUUUGAUCAUGGCUCAGAUUGAACGCUGGCGGCAGGCCUAACACAUGCAAGUCGAACGGUAACAGGAAGCAGCUUGCUGCUUUGCUGACGAGUGGCGGACGGGUGAGUAAUGUCUGGGAAACUGCCUGAUGGAGGGGGAUAACUACUGGAAACGGUGGCUAAUACCGCAUAACGUCGCAAGACCAAAGAGGGGGACCUUCGGGCCUCUUGCCAUCAGAUGUGCCCAGAUGGGAUUAGCUUGUUGGUGAGGUAACGGCUCACCAAGGCGACGAUCCCUAGCUGGUCUGAGAGGAUGACCAGCCACACUGGAACUGAGACACGGUCCAGACUCCUACGGGAGGCAGCAGUGGGGAAUAUUGCACAAUGGGCGCAAGCCUGAUGCAGCCAUGCCGCGUGUAUGAAGAAGGCCUUCGGGUUGUAAAGUACUUUCAGCGGGGAGGAAGGUGUUGCGGUUAAUAACCGCAGCAAUUGACGUUACCCGCAGAAGAAGCACCGGCUAACUCCGUGCCAGCAGCCGCGGUAAUACGGAGGGUGCAAGCGUUAAUCGGAAUUACUGGGCGUAAAGCGCACGCAGGCGGUCUGUCAAGUCGGAUGUGAAAUCCCCGGGCUCAACUUGGGAACUGCAUUCGAAACUGGCAGGCUUGAGUCUUGUAGAGGGGGGUAGAAUUCCAGGUGUAGCGGUGAAAUGCGUAGAGAUCUGGAGGAAUACCGGUGGCGAAGGCGGCCCCCUGGACAAAGACUGACGCUCAGGUGCGAAAGCGUGGGGAGCAAACAGGAUUAGAUACCCUGGUAGUCCACGCCGUAAACGAUGUCUACUUGGAGGUUGUGCCCUUGAGGCGUGGCUUCCGGAGCUAACGCGUUAAGUAGACCGCCUGGGGAGUACGGCCGCAAGGUUAAAACUCAAAUGAAUUGACGGGGGCCCGCACAAGCGGUGGAGCAUGUGGUUUAAUUCGAUGCAACGCGAAGAACCUUACCUGGUCUUGACAUCCACGGAAGUUUUCAGAGAUGAGAAUGUGCCUUCGGGAAC
rnacentral:rRNA from 1 species